UCUUGAGUUUCAUGUGUUCUGCAAACUG
rnacentral:misc_RNA from 1 species